UGACGGCCAUAAUACAUUGAAACAUCAGUUCUCGUACGAUCACCGACGUUAAGCAACAUUGAUCCUGGUCAAUACCUAGAUGGGAGACCAUUUGGGAAUUCCAAGUGCUGUAAG